GGGUCGGUGGCGUAGUUGGUUAUCGCAUCUGUCUAACAUAUCAUGUACACAGAAGGUCCUCAGUUCGAACCUGGGCCGACUCA